CAGUCGCCACGGUAAUACGUAUGUCGCGAGCGUUAUCCGGAAUUAUUGGGCAUAAAGGGCAUCUAGGCGGCCGGAUAAGUCUGGGGUGGAAACUUGCGGCUCAACCGCAAGCCUGCCCUGGAAACUAUGCGGCUAGAGUACUGGAGAGGUGGACGGAACUGCACGAGUAGAGGUGAAAUUCGUAGAUAUGUGCAGGAAUGCCGAUGAUGAAGAUAGUUCACUGGACGGUAACUGACGCUGAAGUGCGAAAGCUAGGGGAGCAAACAGGAUUAGAUACCCCCGUAGUCCCUGUCUCUUAUAC
rnacentral:rRNA from 1 species